rnacentral:rRNA from 1 species
GACGAACGCUGGCGGCGUGCCUAAUACAUGCAAGUUGAGCGCUGAAGGUUGGUACUUGUACCAACUGGAUGAGCAGCGAACGGGUGAGUAACGCGUGGGUAAUCUGCCUUUGAGCGGGGGACAACAUUUGGAAACGAAUGCUAAUACCGCAUAAAAACUUUAAACACAAGUUUUAAGUUUGAAAGAUGCAAUUGCAUCACUCAAAGAUGAUCCCGCGUUGUAUUAGCUAGUUGGUGAGGUAAAGGCUCACCAAGGCGAUGAUACAUAGCCGACCUGAGAGGGUGAUCGGCCACAUUGGGACUGAGACACGGCCCAAACUCCUACGGGAGGCAGCAGUAGGGAAUCUUCGGCAAUAGACGAAAGUCUGACCGAGCAACGCCGCGUGAGUGAAGAAGGUUUUCGGAUCGUAAAACUCUGUUGGUAGAGAAGAACGUUGGUGAGAGUGGAAAGCUCAUCAAGUGACGGUAACUACCCAGAAAGGGACGGCUAACUACGUG